rnacentral:tRNA from 1 species
GAUUUUGCAGCUCAAUUGGUAGAGCGCUUGAUUGUUAAUCAAUAGGUUGGAGGUUCGAUCCCUUCCGGAAUCG